rnacentral:rRNA from 1 species
CCUACGGGGGGCAGCAGUGGGGAAUAUUGGGCAAUGGGCGCAAGCCUGACCCAGUAACGCCGCGUGAAGGAAGAAGGCUUUCGGGUUGUAAACUUCUUUUCUCAGGGACGAAGCAAGUGACGGUACCUGAGGAAUAAGCCACGGCUAACUACGUGCCAGCAGCCGCGGUAAUACGUAGGUGGCAAGCGUUAUCCGGAUUUACUGGGUGUAAAGGGAGCGUAGGCGGCCUGCCAAGUCUGAUGUGAAAUACCGGGGCUCAACCCCGGGGCUGCAUUGGAAACUGGCAGGCUGGAGUGCCGGAGAGG